rnacentral:tRNA from 1 species
CAGAGAGUAGUUUAAAUUAAAAUUUUAAUUUUGGAGAUUAAGGAUAGGUUUGGUAAAAUCUUUCUCUGA